rnacentral:tRNA from 1 species
AUUCAAAUAGCUUAAUUUAGAGCAUAAUAUUGAAGAUAUUAAGGUAAUUAAUAAAUUUUUGAAUA